rnacentral:rRNA from 1 species
AUGUGCGACAAACUCCCUCCCAGCCUCUUCCCCCUUCUCUCUUUCCAUUCUCUCUUCCUCCAGCCUCCUCUCCUCCUCAACCUCCUCCUCCACCUCCUCGAACAGCACCUCCCUAGCAGCUUCCCCACCACGCCCACCUGCUGCAGCCACCUCGCCACUCACCACAUUCUUCAUGGCCUCCCGCCGCACACGCUCCACACGGUGCCACUCCGUGACAACCUCAUCCCGCAUGCGCUUCUCGGCAGCAGCCUCAAGGGGUUCAAGCACACCGUCCUCGUCGUCAUAGUAUCCGUAGUACCCGGCAUUGAUGCGCUUGUGGAUCUCGUAGCGGGUGCGGCGCUUGCGGACCUCAGGUGGCUUGUCAAAUAGCUCACGGACGCCGGGGAGCUUCUUGGCAGCGCCAAAGUAGCGGUAGCCUGGGCCCCGGCCGGAGGGGUUGGGGAUGGCGACGAUGUUGCCGUCGAGGUCGGUCAUGAGGGCGGCGUUGGAGCUGCGAGAGUAGUCGCGGCCUCCGAGCUCGAGGAUGCGGCGCUCCCAGUGGCUGCGCUCGCGGAGGAGUUUGUUGAUCUCGUCGUUGAGGUCUCGGAGGCGGUGCUCCCCGAGGCCCUCGUUCUGGAUCUCGGCGACCUUGACGCCGAUCUCGCGCAGGAUCUCUCCACGCCAGCGGUCGGCGUCGGCGAGGUCCCGGCACUCGGAGGCGAGGUACGGCCGGCGCUCGCGGGGCUUGCGCUUCUCCUCCUGCUUCAUCGUGAUGAAGCGGUUCAGCAUGGACUGCGCCUUCUCCUCGUUACGAGCCAUGGUGGACGGUCGCGCGGAGCGGCCGGUGGCGGUGCGGGCGGCGGUGAGGUUCGCGAGCUUGGGGACGAGGGUUUGGGGGGAGGCGCGUGGGCUGGAUUGGGAAUUGCCGGCUAG